GGGGAAUAUUGCGCAAUGGGGGAAACCCUGACGCAGCAAUACCGCGUGAGUGAAGAAGGUUUUCGGAUCGUAAAGCUCUGUUAUUGGGGAAGAAAAAAAGACGGUACCCAAGAAGAAAGUCCCGGCUAACUACGUGCCAGCAGCCGCGGUAAUACGUAGGGGACAAGCGUUGUCCGGAUUUACUGGGCGUAAAGAGCUUGUAGGCGGUCCGUCACGUCGGAAGUGAAAACUCAGGGCUUAACCCUGAGCCUGCUUUCGAUACGGGCAGACUUGAGGGAUGUAGGGGAGAACGGAAUUCCUGGUGGAGCGGUGGAAUGCGCAGAUAUCAGGAGGAACACCAGUGGCGAAGGCGGUUCUCUGGACAUUUCCUGACGCUGAGAAGCGAAAGCGUGGGGAGCAAACA
rnacentral:rRNA from 1 species